CAGAUGUUGAACGUGAAGGAUAACGUUGCGUCAGCAACGGCCCGUAGGGCGAGGCGAAGCCGAGUUAUCCUGCACGACCCACCA
rnacentral:sRNA from 1 species